UCCAUUCCUCAGUCACAGGGCUAAACGAAGGGAACCGCACGGGGACACCAAGCAAAGAACCCCAGAGAGCGCCCACCGCUCCUCGAAGGUGUCAAGGGAGCCAGUGGACGCCGCCCAGAGGAACUCUGCUUGGAUGCGUGAACGGACUGAG